CGGGUAGGACUAUACGACUAGAUCCCUUUGAACUCCGCCAGGUCCGAAAGGAAGCAACGGCAGAAGGUUGAUCAGUGCGAUAUAGCUCCUUACCCUUU
rnacentral:SRP_RNA from 1 species